AAUGAACGCUGACGGCAUGCCUAACACAUGCAAGUCGAACGAAGGCUUCGGCCUUAGUGGCGCACGGGUGCGUAACGCGUGGGAAUCUGCCCUCAGGUUCGGAAUAACAGCGAGAAAUUGCUGCUAAUACCGGAUGAUAUCGCGAGAUCAAAGAUUUAUCGCCUGAGGAUGAGCCCGCGUAGGAUUAGCUAGUUGGUGUGGUAAAGGCGCACCAAGGCGACGAUCCUUAGCUGGUCUGAGAGGAUGAUCAGCCACACUGGGACUGAGACACGGCCCAGACUCCUACGGGAGGCAGCAGUGGGGAAUAUUGGACAAUGGGCGAAAGCCUGAUCCAGCAAUGCCGCGUGAGUGAUGAAGGCCUUAGGGUUGUAAAGCUCUUUUACCCGGGAUGAUAAUGACAGUACCGGGAGAAUAAGCUCCGGCUAACUCCGUGCCAGCAGCCGCGGUAA
rnacentral:rRNA from 1 species